AUGGCUCAGGACGAACGCUGGCGGCAACGCCUAACACAUGCAAGUCGAACGGACGAGAAGGAGCUUGCUUCUUCGAGUUAGUGGCGGACGGGUGAGUAACACGUGAGCAACCUGCCUUUAAGAGGGGGAUAGCUUCUGGAAACGGAUGGUAAUACCCCAUAAUACAUGAAUAUCGCAUGAUAUAUAUGUCAAAGAUUUAUCGCUUAAAGAUGGGCUCGCGUCUGAUUAGAUAGUUGGUGAGGUAACGGCUCACCAAGUCAACGAUCAGUAGCCGGACUGAGAGGUUGAACGGCCACAUUGGGACUGAGACACGGCCCAGACUCCUACGGGAGGCAGCAGUGGGGAAUAUUGCACAAUGGGGGGAAACCCCCUGAUGCAGCGAUGCCGCGUGGAGGAAGAAGGUUUUCGGAUUGUAAACUCCUUUUGUUGGGGAAGAUAAUGACUGUACCCAACGAAUAAGCUCCGGCUAAUUACGUGCCAGCCGCCGC
rnacentral:rRNA from 1 species